UGUGACAGGGAUGCUGUAGUAUGAUGUGUGUAGUAAUUUUGGGAACUCUACUUUCAGGAAGCGCUUGAUACGAUAGAGCGGUAUACGUGGAGGAAGAAAUAAAGACUGAAUGUUGCACUGUCUUGGCUCCCUCUCUUUUUAUGCUCAGACACUGAACACAAGAGGAAGUGGCCCAUGGAUAGUUCUGAAUGACGCAGCUUCUGGAGCUCCAGGGCCUCGUAAAUCAUCUGUCACUGUAAGCCAGCAUGGAGCCCUUCUCAUGUCCUGCUUUCCCUUGCAGAUUUUUGAUGGGUCGCUUCUUGUUCCCCCUCCUCCCCCACAGCAAAGCACUGCUGAGUGGUAAGGAUGCACCAAUAUUUUCUUCAUUAUGGUAGUGCAGGUUCCACUGAACCGAUAGGAGAAAGAGGGAGCUAGACUGCUCGGGAUUCAUGUUUAAGCAUAUCUGAGCAAACACAACAUGAGACAUAUAUGAGCUGUGAGGUAUUUAAGCUGCAUAACUGCUCCUUGGACUUACUAUUUUUUAAAGCACUCUUCAACUACUUUUGUGGCAGCAUAUUCCAUUAUUGCUAAGCUUUUAUAUGAAUUGUAAGGGCACCACCUAAUGGUAAAUAUUAAAUGGUACAAUUCCAAAUUAUGCUAACUUAUGUCCUAACACAAGCUGUGCUGCAAACUAACCUUUGGGAUCAUCCCAUCACAAAUGAAGACCCAGUUCUGUUUGACACUUCACUUGUGAAUAUUAAUAUUUGUACAGGACAUAGGUGAGCAAGGCACUUCGCAUACAAGUAUCAAAUUACCAGGUCUUUCACUAGAAGUUUCCCUUGCAAUGACAUUGCUGAUCAAGUCCCAGCCUCUCCAGAUAAAUGUGCACUUGAACUGUUAAAAUGGAUUAUCUCUGGUGGCACUGUCACCAAGUAGAAAAGAUCAAGUAAUUUUUUAUGGGACAACUGGGGUAAAAUAUUCUUCCAUUUAAUGCCAGAGAAAAGCAGGUGAUUGAGACAAUGAGGGGAAAGUGAAAAAUGUGAUUAUUUUCAAUCAUGCCUGCCAGCAGGGAUGGCUUCAGUUCAGUGAUUCAUUUUGUUAUUGCCUGGGCUACUGUGGCCAUAUGUAAAAUUUAGCAGAAUAUAUUUAUUUUGGUACUUAUAUGGCCCUUGCCGUAGUUGUAUCAAAAGCCUCGUAAUCAUUUAAUGGAUCUUAUCCACACAGUAUCUCUGUAGUAUUAUCCCCAUUUUACAAGUGGGGAACUGAGGCACAGGGUGGAUUAUUGACUUGACUUGUGCAAGGUAAUUUGAAGUCUGUGGCUGGGCCAGGAUGUGAGCUCAGAAUUCUUGAAGCCAAGUCCAGGA
rnacentral:lncRNA from 1 species